GACGAACGCUGGCGGCGUGCUUAACACAUGCAAGUCGAGCGGUAAGGCCCUUUCGGGGUACGACGAGCGGCGAACGGGUAGGAGUAACAACGUGGGUGGACCUCGCCCUCCAGCUCUGGGAGUAAAGCCUCGGGAAACCGGGGUACCGUAAUAACUGGAGUAUGACUCCAUGACGCAUGUUGUGGGGUGGGAAAGACCUU
rnacentral:rRNA from 1 species